UACUUUUAAAAGUAAAUACAGUUCUGUAAUCAGUCCAAUCAUGAAUCUUCAAUAUCCUGGCCGAUCCGUUAUUUUUCCAAGCAGGAGGGUUAGUAAAGUAGGCACAUUCUAUGAGAUUUCCAAACCUAAAUAUCCAUUGUCUCCUUAAAUUUGAUGUUUCUCGCACCAUAACUCAAUCUGCCUUGUGUUUUGAAUGUCUGGAAUAUCGCAUACCAGUAGUACACCUUCCCACAAACUUAAGAACCUCAUCGAUUAGAAUGACUGGGAAUGCCACAGCCAGCACCAGAAGCCAUUCAUUCAGGCUGAGAGGAACAAUCCCAAAUAUUUGUGCAAGGAAUGGCACAUACAGGAUCAAAAAGUGCAACCCAAAUGAGACGAACAUUGCUAAUAGGAGCCAUGGAUUGACCCAUGGCGGCAUUGUCAGGAGGCUGCCAUCCUCAGAGAGAGCAUUCAAGGAAUUGAACAUUUCAAUGGCAACCAGGACAGAGAGGGAGAGAGUCGAGGCCUUGAUUUUUCCCAUUCGAAAGUAAUCACAUGGAUUAUCAUCAAAAUUAAACACUUGAGACCCAGCUGUGAAGGGUGACGCUGAAAAACCUUCCCAGGUGCUGCACUGAUCCCAGUUGGC
rnacentral:misc_RNA from 1 species